rnacentral:misc_RNA from 1 species
GGAAGUAAAAGUCGUAACAAGGUUUCCGUAGGUGAACCUGCGGAAGGAUCAUUACUGAGUGAGGGCCCUCUGGGUCCAACCUCCCACCCGUGUUUAUUUACCUUGUUGCUUCGGCGGGCCCGCCUUAACUGGCCGCCGGGGGGCUUACGCCCCCGGGCCCGCGCCCGCCGAAGACACCCUCGAACUCUGUCUGAAGAUUGUAGUCUGAGUGAAAAUAUAAAUUAUUUAAAACUUUCAACAACGGAUCUCUUGGUUCCGGCAUCGAUGAAGAACGCAGCGAAAUGCGAUACGUAAUGUGAAUUGCAAAUUCAGUGAAUCAUCGAGUCUUUGAACGCACAUUGCGCCCCCUGGUAUUCCGGGGGGCAUGCCUGUCCGAGCGUCAUUGCUGCCCUCAAGCACGGCUUGUGUGUUGGGCCCCGUCCUCCGAUUCCGGGGGACGGGCCCGAAAGGCAGCGGCGGCACCGCGUCCGGUCCUCGAGCGUAUGGGGCUUUGUCACCCGCUCUGUAGGCCCGGCCGGCGCUUGCCGAUCAACCCAAAUUUUUAUCCAGGUUGACCUCGGAUCAGGUAGGGAUACCCGCUGAACUUAAGCAUAUCAAUAAGCGGAGGA